rnacentral:ncRNA from 2 species
AAAUAGUUUUCGGGGUGGUGCCUAAAAGGCAUCUGAGAUUAUACCCGUAGAACCUGAUCUGGGUAAUGCCAGCGGAGGGAUAAUUGGGAAACCUUUU